AUGUGCAACGAGCAGGGCACCAGACGGCACCAGAGCCGUCUGGGACACGUUAUGGGGGUGCCCUGCUCCCCUCCCCCAAAGGUACGCGUACUGGCUUGGCGAGUGGUGAAAAACGCACUAGCUACUAUGGCAAAUUUGGCUAGAAGAAAUAUAUCUGAUACUGAUAUUUGCCGUUUGUGUGGUGUGGAACGAGAGGACACGUACCACGUCUUCUGCAGAUGCCCGAGAGCCAUAGAUCUUUGGUACGCCAUGGAGGAGUCCUGGAGCAUGCCAAAGCUGGACACCGUUGCUAAUACGGGACCGGAGUGGUUGCAGCACCUACUGGAACGGUGCAACGAGCAGGAGCGCCUUUCGCUGCUCAUGACGGUAUGGCGAAUAUGGCAUGUACAUAAUGAGAUUACCCACAAUAAGCCGGCGCCACCUACUGAAGCAUCUCGACAAUUCCUCUCGAGCUACAUGGACUCGCUGUUGUGCAUUAAACAACAUCCAAACGCGGACACUGCUAAAGGGAAGAUGGUGGUCAGCUAUGGUCAGGCGGAGAGGAAACAACAAGACCACAUCUCCCAUGCUGACAACCCAAGGCCCUCGGAGAGAUGGAGCGCACUGCCGGAGGGAUGGUGCAAACUAAAGGUUGAUGGUGCCUUCGUGGAAGCGGACAAGACAAGAGCUGCUGGUAUGAUUCUUCGUAAUUCUGAGGGAGAGGUGAUUUUUGCAUCUUGCCGCUAUUUGUCAUCAUGUGCGAGCGUGCUGGAGGCAGAACUUGCUGCUUGUCGGGAAGGGAUUUCACUCACACUUGAGUGGAGCACGCUACCUUUCAUCAUGGAGACGGACUGCACCAUGGCAUUGAGCAUGCUCAAGGGCAUAGAAGUUGAUAGAUCACCGGCUGCGGCAAUAGUGGAGGAAGCAAAACACUUGCUGAGCUUGGGACGACCACAUGAAAUAACACAUGUUAGGAGAGGUUUGAACUGUGUUAGUCAUGCACUUGCGCAACUAGGGAGGCAGCCUCGCACAGCAGUCUAG
rnacentral:rRNA from 1 species